GAGACCUCAGGUCAGGCGGGGCUACUCGCUGAGUU
rnacentral:rRNA from 1 species